GGCGUGACGGUGCAGUUGGAGAGGCACGGCAGACUGUAAAUCUGUCCCCAAUGGGUUACUGGGUUCGAAUCCCUGGCACGCCACCA
rnacentral:tRNA from 2 species